CACACACACAAGAAACAAAAUGCACAAUCCGAGCAAGCAGGAUUGUUGAAGUGAGUAACCACAUACCUGCUCUGUCCCUCUGUCCUGAGUUCAGGUGUGGAUGGAGGAGUGUGCGCUGUCCAGCGUGCUGCAGACACACCUGCGGGAGGACCACAAGGGCACCAUCCGUGGCGUCUUGGGCCGACUGGGCGGCCUCACUGAAGAGUCCACGCGGUGUGUCCUGCAGGGGCAUGACCUGCUGUUGCGCUCGGCCCUCCGGAGGCUGGCACUCCGCGGCAACACCCUGGCCACCCUGACGCAGAUGCGGCUGUCGGGGAAGAAGCACCUCCUGCAGGAGCUGCGGGAACAGCGUGCACUGGAGCAGGGGUCCUCCCAGUGCCUGGACGAGCAUCAGUGGCAGCUGCUCAGGGCCCUGGUAAGACCAGCAUGGUGGCCCUACCCAUUCCAGACAGAUGGUGCCCCUGUAGCAGGCCCCAGCUUCCAGCAGGUUUGCCAGAACCCGAAUCCUAACACCCCUGGUGCUGCAGGGUGGGGUAUUUGUUCGCUGGGGCUGCCAUAGCAAGGUCCCACAGACCGGGCGGCUUACAC
rnacentral:sRNA from 1 species